UACAAUGGGCUCCUGGUUUAUGACUGGGGGUCAUAAAUAUUGGCAGAAGACAAGCAGAUCUCUCUUCAGCAAUGCAGUUUCUAAUGAAGAAUGCUGUUGAUUAUAGGAAGAGUAACUACAUUGGCUUUCGGAGGAGAGAGCAUGAAGAAUUUGUGGGCAAUGGUGAUGGUUUUGGAGCUAGUAGCAACAAUUUGGUGACCAGCAGAGUGAACAGAUGCUCAAACAGCUUGAAGAAACCACUGAGAAUAUAAAUCUGCUUGGAGACCCCAGAAUGAAAGAGGAGCAACUUCCUGGUACUACUGUAGGAUCUCAAGGUCCCAGUGCAGACAGCAUCUCUUUGUACCAGGCACAUUUCAUAUACACGCACUGGAUCCUCGUACUUAUGGCAUCAUGGUGGCGCACAGACGUACAUACAUGACCCAGUCAUUCUGCUUCCUGAUGUGCUCCAGCAUGCAAGUUUCUUGUAUUCUUUGGAUUCUUAGUGCAUGUUAAGCUUUUAUAUAUAUUUAGUCCUUAAAAAUGGCUGAUAAAAGAGAAAGAAGCCCUUCUGAAUUCCAUAACCCUGAUGAAGGUGUUGGUUCCUUUAUGCGAUUAGUUACUGCAUUGCUCUGUUUAAUCUAUUUAUAUACAGUACACUUUAGAAAGCUUUGUACUGUACAGUGUAUAUCAUUUAUAGUUGAUUAAAUAGUUGAUUUAAAUAUGGUGUUUAUGG